UGGGGAAUAUUGCGCAAUGGGCGGAAGCCUGACGCAGCAACGCCGCGUGAGUGAAGAAGGCCUUUGGGUUGUAAAGCUCUUUCGUCCGGGAAGAAGGGUGAUGGUGUAAAUAGCGCUGUGAUUUGAUGGUACCGGAAGAAGAAGCACCGGCAAACUUCGUGCCAGCAGCCGCGGUAAUACGAAGGGUGCAAGCGUUGUUCGGAAUUACUGGGCGUAAAGGGUUUGUAGGCUGAGAUGUAAGUCAAGUGUGAAAUCCCCGAGCUCAACUUGGGACGUGCAUUUGAGACUGUGUUUCUUGAGUAUCGUAGAGGGUGGUGGAAUUGUAGGUGUAGGAGUGACAUCCGUAGAGAUCUGCAGGAACAUCAGAGGCGAAGGCGACCACCUGGGCGAUUACUGACGC
rnacentral:rRNA from 1 species